GUGGGGGGGGGCUUCCUGUGCUCCCUCCCCAGUGCUAGAAUUAAAGGCAUACACUCUUGCUCCCACUUAUUUUUUAAAUGUGGAUACUGGGGAUCCAAACUCAUGCAGGUGCUUUUACUAACUGGGCAGUCUCCCCAACCUCCCCCCGCCCCCCCAAAACAAAAAACUUUACUUUUGUUACUCAAUCACAGGCCAGGUUUUUUUUUAUAAACCACUGAUUACUAAACCUUGAAGAAUUUCCUGAAAGAAAAAAAAAUCAUAGUAGCUUGGAGGAUUUGGAGGCAGUGAGGAAGUCACAGAAGACUGAAAGUGGUUUCCUUUGUCUUAAUGAAGUAACGCCUGCAAUUCCGACUGUACUGAUCGGGAGCUCUGGAAGGUGUGUGGACUGCAGUCUCAGGACCUUUGCACCUGUGGAACCUUUGCCCAGGCUCUCCAGAUCUUUGCCUCGCUGGCUCCUUCCCGUUCCAAGGUCAGGUCCAGUGUCAGCCAUACAUAUAUACUUUCCCUGAUGCCAAUUUAUAGCAGUCUGCUUCCCAGUCCUGCAGUGUUUCUCGGGUCCCAGUUCUGAGCAAUACUUGAGAGUAUCUUGUUUGUGUGUUGGUUUUCACAUUGAGACCCUUUUUCCAGGAGAGUGGUGUCCUUGUCCAGGGGGUUCAUUUAUGCAAUUUGGUCUUCUAUGGCUACUCUUUCGGAGAGCUCAGACUCAGCAGUACCCUGCCUUCCACUUGCCACUCUACACGUGUCUUCCUUAAAGUUGCUGCCUACAGAUCAGCUGAGGUGAACUCAGGAUAACUUCGGCUCUGGUGCCAUAGCUGUGGUCCCCAGGGAACACAAAUGAGGCCAGAGGCCCCUGCUGAAACAGAGUAGCAAAAGAAGAAACAGUGGCAG
rnacentral:lncRNA from 1 species